GCAGGGAAGAGUAAACCCCCGUCCUUCUGCUGGAAUAUGUCUUAAUUUUAAAUAACCACUGGAGACAAACAUACAGCAAGUCAGCGAACCGCGCACCUUUAACAUGUUGAAGUUACAGCCUUUAGAAUGAUAUGAUCUGAAAGACAUGAUGUUAUCCAUUUAACUUUAGCUGAGGAUGUGAACGACAACCAGUGAAGAGAGACGAUUUAAUGCUGCAGUGUGACCUUUCCUGAUGAACAAAAUGGAGUCGUCUGAAGACAGUGCUCAGUUCGUGGACAAGUACAUGCCCCAGCUCAUUCAGAGGGUCACCAUGGUGAUGUCUAUAGCUGAAGAGCUGCGAGCUAAAGGCAUGAUCCAUGAAGAGAUGUACUCCGACAUUAGUGCUGCCAGGACUAAUCAGAGCAAAAUGAGGGAGCUCUUUAAAGCACUCCACUCUGGAGGAAACAAAGUGAAAUCUACCUUUCUCUCCACACUGAGGGAGAAUGAACCUCAUCUGGUCCAGGACUUAGGUAAGUGAAGAUGUUUGGCAAUUUAGAUACAUGGGCUGGGAUUAGGUCAGGCAUUCUUGAAAGCCAACAUUUAAAAAAAAUAUAUAUAUAUAUUAAUAUUAAGCAAAUUUUAGAUAUCUAUAUUUUAUAGACCAAAUAAUCAACCAUUUGCUACAGUAUCACACAAGGAGAAAGCGCGCCACCAUCUGGUGUUUUUCCCCUGAAAGAGGUCAGUUUAGAUAUAGGUACAACUCAGUGGAGGCUUCUGAGGGGAGAACGGAGCAUACUAAUG